rnacentral:rRNA from 1 species
GACGAACCGUGCGAACGUUGUUCGGAAUCACUGGGCUUAAAGGGCGCGUAGGCGGCUUGCCAAGUCAGGGGUGAAAUCCUGCAGCUCAACUGUAGAAGUGCCUUUGAUACUGGUAAGCUCGAGGGAGGUAGGGGUGGGUGGAACUUCUGGUGGAGCGGUGAAAUGCGUUGAUAUCAGAAGGAACGCCGGUGGCGAAAGCGACUCACUGGACCUCUUCUGACGCUGAGGCGCGAAAGCUAGGGGAGCAAACGGG